rnacentral:rRNA from 1 species
CCUACGGGAGGCAGCAGUGAGGAAUAUUGGUCAAUGGACGAGAGUCUGAACCAGCCAAGUAGCGUGAAGGAUGACUGCCCUAUGGGUUGUAAACUUCUUUUAUAUGGGAAUAAAACGUUCCACGUGUGGGAUUUUGUAUGUACCAUAUGAAUAAGGCUCGGCUAACUCCGUGCCAGCAGCCGCGGUAAUACGGAGGAUCCGAGCGUUAUACGGAUUUAUUGGGCUUAAAGGGAGCGUAGGUGGGUUGUUAAGUCAGUUGUGAAAGUUUGCGGCUCAACCGUAAAAUUGCAGUUGAAACUGGCAGUCUUGAGUACAGUAGAGGUGGGCGGAAUGCGUGGUGUAGCGGUGAAAUGCUUAGAUAUCACGAAGAACUCCGAUUGCGAAGGCAGUUCACUGGACUGCAACUGACACUGAGGCUCGAAAGUGUGGGUAUCAAACAGGAUUAGAUACCCUGGUAGUC